GAUGAACGCUGGCGGCGUGCCUAGUACAUGCAAGUCGAGCGAACGGACGAGAAGCUUGCUUCUCUGAUGUUAGCGGCGGACGGGUGAGUAACACGUGGAUAACCUACCUAUAAGACUGGGAUAACUUCGGGAAACCGGAGCUAAUACCGGAUAAUAUUUUGAACCGCAUGGUUCAAAAGUGAAAGACGGUCUUGCUGUCACUUAUAGAUGGAUCCGCGCUGCAUUAGCUAGUUGGUAAGGUAACGGCUUACCAAGGCAACGAUGCAUAGCCGACCUGAGAGGGUGAUCGGCCACACUGGAACUGAGACACGGUCCAGACUCCUACGGGAGGCAGCAGUAGGGAAUCUUCCGCAAUGGGCGAAAGCCUGACGGAGCAACGCCGCGUGAGUGAUGAAGGUCUUCGGAUCGUAAAACUCUGUUAUUAGGGAAGAACAUAUGUGUAAGUAACUGUGCACAUCUUGACGGUACCUAAUCAGAAAGCCACGGCUAACUACGUG
rnacentral:rRNA from 1 species